rnacentral:rRNA from 1 species
AGGACGAACGCUGGCGGCGUGCUUAACACAUGCAAGUCGAGCGGAAAGGCCCUUCGGGGUACUCGAGCGGCGAACGGGUGAGUAACACGUGAGUAAUCUGCCCAUCGCUUCAGGAUAGCCAUCGGAAACGGUGAUUAAUACUGGAUAUGACAUUCCUUCGCAUGUUGGGGUGUGGAAAGUUUUUUCGGCGGUGGAUGUGCUCGCGGCCUAUCAGCGUUGUUGGUGGGUAAUGGCCUACCAAGGCUUUGACGGGUAGCCGGCUGAGAGGGUGACCGGCCACGACUGGGACUGGAGACCACCGGCCCAGACCUCCGUAACGGGAGCAGC